GGAAGCAUGUGUGGGAUGGCACAACUGAGGAUUGAUCGUUAUAUAGAUUACUAUGUGACAUCUUCUCAGUUAGUGUUGUCUAUAAUAUAUUAUCUUGAGCUUUCAGAUCGUAAGCUUCUUGAUUUCAGACUCCCGAUUGCGCAUGCAACUUCGUUCUAAGAUCACGGAUUUGCGCGCCUGCACGGUCGAGUCUCUUUGUUCCUCGUAGUACCGCGAUUUCCAAAUUUGGGGGGUAAUCGAAUUGGUCAGAGGUCGCUUCCACAUGCAGGCACUGCUGAUGGCAGUACGCCAUCUUUUUUUG
rnacentral:snRNA from 1 species